GACGAACGCUGGCGGCGUGCUUAACACAUGCAAGUCGAACGGAAAGGCCCUGCUUUUGUGGGGUGCUCGAGUGGCGAACGGGUGAGUAACACGUGUGUAACAUGCCCUUGACUUUGGGAUAACUUCAGGAAACUGGGGCUAAUAUCGGAUAGGAGCUCCUGAUGCAUGGUGGGGGUUGGAAAGUUUCGGCGGUUGGGGAUGGACUCGCGGCUUAUCAGCUUGUUGGUGGGGUAGUGGCUUACCAAGGCUUUGACGGGUAGCCGGCCUGAGAGGGUGACCGGCCACAUUGGGACUGAGAUACGGCGCAGACGCCUACCGGAGGCAGCAGUGGGGAAUCUUGCGGAAUGGGCGGAAGCCUGAUGCAGCAACGCCGCGUGCGGGAUGCUGGCCUUCUAGUGGUAAACCGCUUUCUCCUGUGACGUAGCCGGAGUGACGGUAAUGGGUAAAGAAGCACCGGCUAACUACGUG
rnacentral:rRNA from 1 species